rnacentral:rRNA from 1 species
GACGAACGCUGGCGGCGUGCUUAACACAUGCAAGUCGAACGGUAAGGCUCCAGCUUGCUGGGGUACACGAGUGGCGAACGGGUGAGUAACACGUGGGUGACCUGCCCUGCACUUCGGGAUAAGCCUGGGAAACUGGGUCUAAUACCGGAUAGGACCGCACCGUGAGGGUGUGGUGGAAAGUUUUUUCGGUGUGGGAUGGGCCCGCGGCCUAUCAGCUUGUUGGUGGGGUAAUGGCCUACCAAGGCGGCGACGGGUAGCCGGCCUGAGAGGGUGGACGGCCACAUUGGGACUGAGACACGGCCCAGACUCCUACGGGAGGCAGCAGUGGGGAAUAUUGCACAAUGGGCGGAAGCCUGAUGCAGCGACGCCGCGUGGGGGAUGACGGCCUUCGGGUUGUAAACUCCUUUCACCAUCGACGAAGGGUUUCUGACGGUAGAUGGAGAAGAAGCACCGGCUAACUACGUGCCAGCAGCCGCGGUAAUACGUAGGGUGCGAGCGUUGUCCGGGAUUACUGGGCGUAAAGGGCUCGUAGGUGGUUUGUCGCGUCGUCUGUGAAAUUCCGGGGCUUAACUCCGGGCGUGCAGGCGAUACGGGCAUAACUUGAGUACUGUAGGGGAGACUGGAAUUCCUGGUGUAGCGGUGAAAUGCGCAGAUAUCAGGAGGAACACCGGUGGCGAAGGCGGGUCUCUGGGCAGUAACUGACGCUGAGGAGCGAAAGCAUGGGGAGCGAACAGGAUUAGAUACCCUGGUAGUCCAUGCCGUAAACGGUGGGCGCUAGGUGUGGGUUUCCUUCCACGGGAUCCGUGCCGUAGCUAACGCAUUAAGCGCCCCGCCUGGGGAGUACGGCCGCAAGGCUAAAACUCAAAGGAAUUGACGGGGGCCCGCACAAGCGGCGGAGCAUGUGGAUUAAUUCGAUGCAACGCGAAGAACCUUACCUGGGCUUGACAUAUACAGGAUCGCGCCAGAGAUGGUGUUUCCCUUGUGGCUUGUAUACAGGUGGUGCAUGGUUGUCGUCAGCUCGUGUCGUGAGAUGUUGGGUUAAGUCCCGCAACGAGCGCAACCCUUGUCUUAUGUUGCCAGCACGUUGUGGUGGGGACUCGUAAGAAACUGCCGGGGUUAACUCGGAGGAAGGUGGGGAUGACGUCAAAUCAUCAUGCCCCUUAUGUCCAGGGCUUCACACAUGCUACAAUGGUCGGUACAGUGGGUUGCCAGUCCGUGAGGGCGAGCUAAUCCCGCAAAGCCGGUCUCAGUUCGGAUCGGGGUCUGCAACUCGACCCCGUGAAGUCGGAGUCGCUAGUAAUCGCAGAUCAGCAACGCUGCGGUGAAUACGUUCCCGGGCCU